UACGGAGGGGCUAGCGUUGCUCGGAAUUACUGGGCGUAAAGGGCGCGUAGGCGGCACUGUUAGUCAGGCGUGAAAUUCCUGGGCUCAACCUGGGGACUGCGCUUGAUACGGCAGAGCUAGAGGAUGGAAGAGGCUCGCGGAAUUCCCAGUGUAGAGGUGAAAUUCGUAGAUAUUGGGAAGAACACCGGUGGCGAAGGCGGCGAGCUGGUCCAUUACU
rnacentral:rRNA from 1 species